GGCGUAUCUUCUGCUGACAAUAAACGUGCUUUUAUGAUAAACUACCGAGAGAUCCGGUACAAGACAAUCUUGAAAAUUUGCUGGAUGACUUCUGAACGACCAAAAGUGACAUGAAGGAACAAGUCAAACCCAUCUCCCAAGAUGGCCUGGAUUUCGGGAAACCGCAGGGGGCCCGGGGGGCCGUGUGGCUCGGCUCUUCACAGUCAGUGUGAACGGGACCAGCGCUCGGAGUCGGCCCUGGUGGAACACGGCGCACUCCCAAGCGUUCUGCGCCAGCGUGACGUUCCUCACCACGAGCCGGAACUCGCCCGCGGACUCUUGUGCCUUGCGGUAGGAGAACGUUUGGUGACUCUGCGUGUCGAUCCACAGCAGUCUGGUGAACCUCUCUGCACAAGAAACGGCGCAGACCAGGGAGCCAUUCUUUCCCUCAGUCAGCUCCACGGGCUCGGAGUACACUGCAGGGGCAGACACACACAAUGCUGUGACUUAACAUAACAUAACAUAAUGUAGCAUAACACAACACUACACAACGACAAGAACAACAACAAGUCCCAUACAGUUUUACAUGUGCUAAUACUAGUAUCAGUGCAAUAGUCUGAACCACGGCUGCCCAACCCUGCUCUACCAUCCUGUAGGUUUGGAGAUCUACUGUCCUGUACGUCUUCACUCCAACCCUAACAAAGCACACCUCAUUCAACAGCUAGAGAUCUACUGUCCUGUACCUCUUCACUCCAACCAUAACAAAGCACACCUCAUUCAACGGCUAGAGAUCAUCUCAUAGAGCUGCCAAUUAGUAGAGUCUAGUGUGCCAAAUUAAGUUAGAAAUGAAAACCUAUACGAUGGUAGAUCUCCAGGAACAGGGUUGGGCAGCCCUGGUCCAAACAGUUUGGCAUGCUAAUACCAUAUAAACGCCUCAAAAUUACAUUCCGUUUUUAACGAGCAAACGCAUUUUCUGUCUCCGUUCCUUAUUGAAAUGUAGCCAAACAUGAGAGCUCAGGGCUGAGUAGGUCUGCUGCAGAGGAUUUGCUGGAAGAUUAAAUUUCACUCCAUCUUACUACUUUUUUGUAAAAAAGCAUUUUUGCAGUUCCUAAAUAAGCGUAAUAGUGGGAAUGUAUAAUGGCUGACAUUACCUUUCACUGUAAUUAUUUCAUAAGUGCAUUGCUUGUGAAGUUUGUCGCCAUCACAAAGAGCGCAUCGAUAUUGUCCAGAGUCAUUCCAGAGCAGAGGGGAGAUGUUCAGUGAAAAUUUGUUGCCGGACCCACUCUUUACUUCAGACCGAUUUCCAAAGUGCUCCAGGUCUGAGCCAGACCGUUUGCAGUCUCCUUCAGACCCAGUCUGUCCUGAACCAGGCCGUUUGCAGUCUCCUUCAGACCCAGUCUGUCCUGAACCAGGCCGUUUGCAGUCUUCUUCAGACCCAGUCUGUCUCCAGCUCCAAAAGCCCUCAAGCCUUUUUGGUGUUAGAUGUUCACAAAAGAGAUGCAACGAGCCGGUCCUGCUGAUUCUGUACACAGGCGUGCUAUCCUUUACACCUGGGAAAAAAUAAUACAUUCGCUUGAUAUGUAUGUAUGUAUGUACAGUAUGUAUGUGCAUAUAAUUACAGUUAAAAUGAUAUUCAAACAUAAUAGGGUUGCAUAUAUUUCUGCUUAUAAAACGUAUUAAAAUUUGAAUGAUUAUUUAACUACUUUUCAACUCUGUACAUGUAAUUUGUAUUAUAUAAUUCAAUAUUGUAAUGUUUCAAUCUGUAAUAUGUGAUUCAAUACUGUAUUUGCCCAGCUGUUCCAGUUUCACUGCAGAUUUGUUUUGUUCUGUUCCAUUGAUACAGUAGUAUAGGCCUUCGUUUAUCUUCUGGAAGUUUUCCACCAGCAGAUCUGCAGUGCCGUUGACCACUAAUGUCUUGAUGUUACUUGAUGUCUGAUUGGAGUCCCAUUCCCACUUCGGAAGAAAACUUCUCUUUGAUGUGCAACGUAACAUGGCAUCCAAUCCACGCAGUACCUGGAUGACUUUAUCUAGCAGAACAAACAUUAAAAUGGUUUCCACGCAUUCACAAAUAAUUCAGCCAAAUACACAACCAACCAAUUCUUGAAAUCAGAUGGAAAUAUUAUGCACUUCUACACCCGAAAGCUUUUCACAAGAGAUGACCGUUACUCUGAAACAGCCCUGCUAUGUAACCCUUUCGAUUGUCAGAUGUUAACUUACCUUUUGCAAAAACAGGAGUAUAUUCUGGUGUAAGAAACAACAGAAUCCAGCAACCAAUGGUAAAAUGAUGAAUCAUUGUUUAAUAUUGAAGUGUGCAUCUGAUGGUGUCAGGGAUUAUUGCUCAUGAGCAAAGCAGAGUGGAACUCCACAUCAUGCUUCCUCUCAGCAAGGAGGUGGGUGCAGUAAUAUCACUUCACCCUGUAAGAUAUAUAUAUAUAUAUAUAUAUAUAUAUAUAUAUAUAUACACGUCACAGAAGGAAGCUAGCCUUAGCCACCAACUGUAGGAUAAUCACUUCCUUUUGUCACUCAGAAAAGCAAACAAAAAAACUCGAGUCCAGUUAGAAAGAGCCUGCUUGUCAUCAUUUGAUUUCAAAAGCAAAGUUUAAUUUAUAAAAAUGUGCAGUACCCUUCCUUCA